AUGUUACCUAAAAAACAUCUAUCUGGCUGUGAGAAAAGAAACAACAAGAAAAGAGUAGACAAGUUGAUUAAAUCUUAGGAAGGCGCUAUGGAUAUGUUUGUCUUGAGGCCUGGUGCUGCUACAAAUUCAGAGCAAUUAUAUAUCACAAAUGGUGAAGAAAAACCUGAUGAUACUAAGAAUGUCGUUGAGGAAAAUCAUGUCGAGAAAAAUAAUGCUGCGGAAAAUGAUGCCGAUCAGCACACUGAAAAAUUUAGUGACCAUGAGAAUCUUGGAAAUGCAGAUGAGCAGGGUUCUUCUUUUGAUAUAUAUGAUCCUAGAACUUGGAAUAUUCUUGACAAUAAAUCAAGAGAUAUUCUCAUUGAAAAAGGACCUAUAAGGGAAUACAAUCUUGUGUUUCCCGAAGAUGAAAUUAGUGGCAGGCAUUUUUCAUAUGAUUACUACACAAGAAAGUUAAGGAAUGGCGAGUUCAGUGAUCGGAGGUGGUUAGUGUACUCUAAACACGUGAAUAAAGUCUAUUGCUUUUGUUGCAAAUUGUUUAAAUCUGGAAAAAGCAAAAGUCUGCUAGCAUCCGAGGGAUUGAAGGAUUGGAGACAUCUUAGUGAGAAGCUCAAAUUGCAUGAGAAUAGUGUUGAGCAUAUCACUAACAUGAAUACUUGGAAUGAGGUAAGGCUGAGGCUAUGUAAGAAGGAAACAAUUGAUAAAGACAUGCAACAAGAGAUUGCAAGGGAGAAGGAGCGAUGGAGACUUGUUUUGAUUAGAAUUGUUGAUGCUGUGAAAUUUCUUGCUAAACAUAGUCUGGCUUUUCAAGGAUCGAAUGAGAAAUUAUAUGAAGAUAACAACGGAAAUUUUUUGGGAGUAAUUGAAAUGAUGGCAGAAUUUGAUCCUGUAAUGCAAGAGCAUCUUCGGCGCAUUAAGAAUAGUGAAAUCCAUCAUCAUUAUCUUGGCCAUAAUAUUCAGAAUGAGUUAAUUUCCCUUCUUGGUCGCACUGUUAAAUAUUCUCUGUUGAGGAUAAUUAAGGAUGCAAGGUAUUUCUCUGUCAUCUUGGACUGUACACCUAACGUGAGCCAUCAAGAACAAAUGACUCUAAUUGUGAGGUGUGUAAACAUGUCAAGUACUACUACAAAAAUAGAGGAGUUUUUCUGGAGUUCUUGA
rnacentral:rRNA from 1 species